UACGUAGGGGGCAAGCGUUGUCCGGAUUUAUUGGGCGUAAAGAGCGUGUAGGCGGCUUUACAGGUCCGUUGUGAAAACUCGAGGCUCAACCUCGAGACGCCGGUGGAAACCGUAAAGCUAGAGUCCGGAAGAGGAGAGUGGAAUUCCUGGUGUAGCGGUGAAAUGCGCAGAUAUCAGGAAGAACACCCGUGGCGAAGGCGGCUCUCUGGGACGUAACUGACGCUGAGACGCGAAAGCGUGGGGAGCAAACAGG
rnacentral:rRNA from 1 species